AGAGUUUGAUCCUGGCUCAGGAUGAACGCUGGCGGCGUGCUUAACACAUGCAAGUCGAACGGGGAUUAUUUUAACAGAGACUUCGGUUGAAGUUGCUAUAAUCCUAGUGGCGGACGGGUGAGUAACGCGUGGGUAACCUGCCUUGUACUGGGGGAUAACAGUCAGAAAUGACUGCUAAUACCGCAUAAGCGCACAGAGCUGCAUGGCUCAGUGUGAAAAACUCCGGUGGUAUAAGAUGGACCCGCGUUGGAUUAGCUAGUUGGCAGGGCAGCGGCCUACCAAGGCGACGAUCCAUAGCCGGCCUGAGAGGGUGAACGGCCACAUUGGGACUGAGACACGGCCCAGACUCCUACGGGAGGCAGCAGUGGGGAAUAUUGCACAAUGGGGGAAACCCUGAUGCAGCGACGCCGCGUGAAGGAAGAAGUAUCUCGGUAUGUAAACUUCUAUCAGCAGGGAAGAUAAUGACGGUACCUGACUAAGAAGCCCCGGCUAACUACGUGCCAGCAGCCGCGGUAAUACGUAGGGGGCAAGCGUUAUCCGGAUUUACUGGGUGUAAAGGGAGCGUAGACGGCUAAGCAAGUCUGAUGUGAAAGGCUGGGGCUCAACCCCGGGACUGCAUUGGAAACUGUUUGGCUUGAGUGCCGGAGGGGUAAGCGGAAUUCCUAGUGUAGCGGUGAAAUGCGUAGAUAUUAGGAGGAACACCAGUGGCGAAGGCGACCUACUGGGCACCAACUGACGCUGAGGCUCGAAAGCAUGGGUAGCAAACAGGAUUAGAUACCCUGGUAGUCCAUGCCGUAAACGAUGAUUACUAGGUGUUGGAGGAUUGACCCCUUCAGUGCCGCAGUUAACACAAUAAGUAAUCCACCUGGGGAGUACGACCGCAAGGUUGAAACUCAAAGGAAUUGACGGGGGCCCGCACAAGCAGUGGAGUAUGUGGUUUAAUUCGAAGCAACGCGAAGAACCUUACCAGGUCUUGACAUCCGAUGCAUAGUGCGGAGAUGCAUGAAGUCCUACGGGACAUCGAGACAGGUGGUGCAUGGUUGUCGUCAGCUCGUGUCGUGAGAUGUUGGGUUAAGUCCCGCAACGAGCGCAACCCUUAUUGCCAGUUACUACGCAAGAGGACUCUGGCGAGACUGCCGUUGACAAAACGGAGGAAGGUGGGGAUGACGUCAAAUCAUCAUGCCCUUUAUGACCUGGGCUACACACGUACUACAAUGGCUAUUAACAGAGAGAAGCGAUACCGCGAGGUGGAGCAAACCUCACAAAAAUAGUCUCAGUUCGGAUCGCAGGCUGCAACCCGCCUGCGUGAAGCCGGAAUUGCUAGUAAUCGCAGAUCAGAAUGCUGCGGUGAAUACGUUCCCGGGUCUUGCACACACCGCCCGUCA
rnacentral:rRNA from 1 species